AGGAUGAACGCUGGCGGCGUGCCUAAUACAUGCAAGUCGAGCGGUAAGGCCUCUUCGGAGGUACACGAGCGGCGGACGGCUGAGUAACGCGUAGGAACGUACCCCAAAGUGGGGGAUAAGCACCAGAAAUGGUGUCUAAUACCACAUGUGGUCUAAGGACUAAAGCUACGGCGCUUUGGGAACGGCCUGCGUUUGAUUAGCUUGUUGGUGAGGUAAAGCUCACCAAGGCGACGAUCAAUAGCUGGUCUGAGAGGAUGAUCAGCCAGACUGGGACUGAGACACGGCCCAGACUCCUACGAGAGGCAGCAGUAGGAACUU
rnacentral:rRNA from 1 species